AGUCUUUCACCCUCUCGCUCUCGUUCAUCUCUCGUUCUCCUUCAUCUCUCGCUGUAGCCUUAAUCGACUCUCUCUCGAUUUCGAUUUUGAAAUCUAUGUUUGGGUGAUUCUUUCUCAAUUUCGAAGCUUAUUUUGAAUCGGAGAAUAAUUGUUAAAGCCUUUGUAAACCCUUAUUUUGAAUCCUCACGCCUUCAAAUCUCGCCUCUCUCUCAACCCUCUCUAAACCCUUAUCAUUCUCACAAUGUUGCUCAAGAGCGGUGUCAUCUUUUAGAGCGAUUUCGAUUUCGAAGCUCCACCGCCACCACUGACGAGGUAACGACCACCAUCGGCGAGCAAUUUCUAUUUCGAAGCUCCAGAGUGUCUUUCUCUCUCUCUCUAGAUCUCUCUCUUCAGCUUUGAGAUUCAGAGAUUCAGAUCGGUCUCAGUGAUUUCAUCUUAGAAUGAUUUCGAUUUUGAAGUUCUCUCUCUCGAUUUCAAAGCUCCAGCGAGAAAAUGCUAGAUGUGCUUGUGAUUAUGACAUUUGUUGGAUUUGAGAUCACUUACACUUGUAUGGUUAAAAUCUGGUUGGUAGCUUAGCCAGACUGUGGGAAUUUGUUGCGGGAAGAUUAGAUUUCUAAUAACUAGUUGAAUUUCAGUUGUGCAGUUAGCAUUAUUAAACUGAAUUUAUCUUCUUACUGAGUCAAUGGCCUGUUCUGAAUAAUCUUUUUUUUGACUCAUUCUGUAUUUUGUUAUCAUUUUUAUUUUGCAUUAAUUGCCUACUUUAAUGUCUGGACUUUUACUAGUAAACGCAAAAAAUCAUCUACCACUCUUUCAAAUACUGUUAGGUAUUUGACAUCUCAACUCUACAAAUAGAAAUAGAACAAAUACAGGUGCUGCAUACUACAUACUCAUCAAGUGUGCAACUUAUCCCAUUGCCUAGUUUAAUUGAAGCACUUGAGGAAUUGGAUUUAAACAAUGCAAUUGGAGGCCUUUAAACAAUGAACGUUUUAUAUUAGAAUAACUCAUAAAAUAAUCAUUAUUUAGAACGGAGGGAGGAAUAAGCUAGGGUUGAAAUGUCCUCAUAUUAGAAUGACUGAUGGGAAUUUAUUUUGGUCUUGUAGCAUUUUUCCCCCUCUUUCCUUAUGACCUACUACUGGCUAGGGCCUUGUUUUAUAAACAUUCCCCAAAUUUUUGUAUCCGUGUUGGAUUUAGUAAUGCAACGCAAAUAAGGUCAGCAGUUAGACAGUAAAAAGCUGUCUAGAUGGAGAACUCCACAUAUACAUUGCCUAAACACAUAAACAUCAUAUUAAGGCUCUGUUUUUUCGACUAAAAAAGCCACUUUUUGGCUAUUUAAGCCAAAAAAAAAGAGAGUUUGUUUUUCGGCUUAAAAAGCUAACAAUUGAAAAGAAAGAAGCAACUAAGAGACUUUUCUACUUCAGAAGUGCUUCAGGUAAGUUGUCCUUAUAUACAGAAUUCAAUGUGUCAUCUUUUCUACUUCAGGACUUUGCAAUUAUUUACAAUAGAUUCUUAUUUCAGGGAAUUGACAUUAAAGAAAUGCUUGCUGGUGCAUCAUUGAUGGAUGAGGGAAAUAGGGCCACUGUGUCAUGCAAUUCUUAGGUAUCUUGCUUGUGCAUUUCCUGGAGUAGUUGAUCACUGGAGGAAUUUUUGGGUUUUAGGUCAUAGACCCACCCAUGGUUUUGAUGGCUGAGACUGUUGUGUUGAUACGAUGAACAAGCAUUCUUAUGCGGAAUUUGAAGAUGAAUUAUUGUGAUUUUCAGCAUAGCAAUGCCUUUAUGUCUCCUAAUCAGGAGAUUAUAGGCUCUAUUUCUAUUCCUGAUUGGAAGGGUUCGGUUGUUUGUCCAAUACCUCGGCGAGUUGCACUCUUGACUAACAAUCCUAUGAGGCCUUUGAGAUGUCAUGUGAGCCAUCAAGCUGAGGUAUUUGAUUCAAAAGCAGGGGCAGAACUUCUUGACAUAAUUCUCAAGUGGGAUUUUACUGGUGUUCCAGCUGUGGUCAACCUUGCUUGUAUGUGUGAUGCCAUGAACAAGCUUGGCAGCAAUUCUAACAAGAUCAAUCCUUUGGUGUCAUUCUCAUUAACUGCCUUUGUAUUGUCCCUUGAGAAUUAGUUAUAUUGAGCUUGAACUCCAAAGGAACAAGGAGAGAUUUUCUUUUCUAAAAUGGGGGUCGAGCGCUUUUCAUAACAUGCUUGUUGUUCCUCCAUGUUCUGGUAUUGUUCAUCAGGUUAAUCUUGAAUAUCUUGGAAGGGUUGUUUUUAACUCUGAUGGCAUGCUCUAUCCCGAUAGUGUGGUUGGAACUGAUUCUCACACUACUAUAUUAGAUGGGUUAGGAGUUGCUGGUUGGGGAGUUGGAUGUAUUGAAGCAGAGGCAGUGAUGCUUGGUCAGGAGAAGGCGUGGGUAAAAUAUCAUAAGCUGACAGGGCCACUAUUGCCAAUAUGUCUCCUGAGUAUGGUGCAACAAUAGGGUUCUUUCCUGUUGACAAGGUUACUUUGUAAUAUCUGAAAUUGACUGGAAGAAGUGAUGAAACUGUGGCAAUGAUUGAAGCAUAUUUGCGUGCAAAUAACAUGUUUGUUGACUAUAAUGAGAGAAAUCUUAUUUCAACUCCACCAACUAGUGGGACUAUUCUUCCAGGGAUCACACGAAAAACUGUCAUCGACAUUGCCCGUGAUCAUGGGUUCCAUGUAGUUAUUCUUGCAACACAGAACUUGCACACAGGCUUGGUUAUGUUGUGCUAAAAUAUGUUCUUUCGAUUGGAAUUUGGCUUGUAAGAAACUAAAUACUCUCUCUGUGUUUGUAAUUUGUUAUGUCAAUUUCUUGAAUGUGGUAUUACAGCUCAUUAAGAAUGUA